CAGUCGCCGCGGGAAUACGUAGGGUGCAAGCGUUAAUCGGAAUUACUGGGCGUAAAGCGUGCGCAGGCGGUUCGCUAAGACAGAUGUGAAAUCCCCGGGCUUAACCUGGGAACUGCAUUUGUGACUGGCGGGCUAGAGUAUGGCAGAGGGGGGUAGAAUUCCACGUGUAGCAGUGAAAUGCGUAGAGAUGUGGAGGAAUACCGAUGGCGAAGGCAGCCCCCUGGGCCAAUACUGACGCUCAUGCACGAAAGCGUGGGGAGCAAACAGGAUUAGAUACCCGCGUAGUCCCUGUCUCUUAUAC
rnacentral:rRNA from 1 species